rnacentral:rRNA from 1 species
CCCUUGACAUACCGGUCGCGGACACAGAGAUGUGCUUUUCAGUUCGGCUGGACCGGAUACAGGUGCUGCAUGGCUGUCGUCAGCUCGUGUCGUGAGAUGUUGGGUUAAGUCCCGCAACGAGCGCAACCCUCGCCCUUAGUUGCCAGCAUUUAGUUGGGCACUCUAAGGGGACUGCCGGUGAUAAGCCGAGAGGAAGGUGGGGAUGACGUCAAGUCCUCAUGGCCCUUACGGGCUGGGCUACACACGUGCUACAAUGGUGGUGACAGUGGGCAGCGAGUUCGCGAGGACGAGCGGAUCCCUCAAAGCCGGUCGCAGUUCGGAUUGAAGUCUGCAACUCGACUUCAUGAAGCUGGAAUCGCUAGUAAUCGUGGAUCAGCCAAGCCGCGGUGAAUACGUUCCCGGGCCUU